rnacentral:lncRNA from 1 species
ACCCUGUCAACAACAAACUUGUAUACGAAAGUGUCUCCAGGCAGAAUUGGACACUGAGUGACUCCUUCUGUUCCAUCAAACCAAGGUGUUCCAAUCUGACGAAUUCCGUGCCAAUGAAUUGCUGUAUUCUCAGUUAACAAACUGUUCUUGACCUCAACAAUAACUGUGUCAUUCUGCUGUGCAAAGAUUGUGGGUCCAGGAGUUCUCCCAUUAAUUGUAAUGACCAGCUUCUUAUAGCAGUCAGGGGAUUUGUACUCAUACUUGAGCUCAAAUUUGUAGUGACGAAUUCUAGCCUCGGCAAUUGGUAUGUUUAUCAGAGAUAUAACGAAAAAACACAGAGCCAAGAAUUUCAUCAUGGCAAUGCUUUUGGAUUCUGAAAGCUGAUAACCACUCAUGUAUUCAAAAUGUGUUCCUGAGGCAGGUUACCCCUCUAUGGAGCUCAAUGAAAUGAAUAUGUGAUUGUCGUACUUCGGAAUCUCCAAAGCACUCUCUUUAUAGUUCUGUGUGUGGAAUAGGCUUCUCUCUUUCUAUGAUGAGCUUGAAAAGUCCGAGUCAAAAUAAAUCUGGAAUUGGUAAGUUCAUGUUCUUGUCUUUUAUGGCUGGAUUUCACGAAGACUAAUCAGAAAAACGCGUAACAGUGACGAGUAUCAUCUAUUAAAGUGUCUUUUAUAAAGGAAAAUAUACAUCUUUAUCUGGGCUUCGAUUAUUAAAUGUAAAGAUAUGCGAGUUUCGAGAACUUUACAGCACAAAAGUUUAUUUGAGUAUUUUCCUAAGUGUUUUCUAAGUAUUUUCCUUCUUAUUAUUUUUUUUCUAAUGAAAGAAACAUGUAUGAUUUUCUUUUUACUAAUUUAUUGGGAUUAUGGAUUUGGUGGGUUUUAGGUUUAGACUUUAAUGAUUGACAACUUCCCCAUGUUUUGUAAGAAUUUUCCUUCUUAUUAUUAGUUGACUUCGUAGACAGAGACAUUUUCUUCUGAUUGUUUUCCCCGUUAUCUUUGGUUUCUUCAAGCUUGAAUCUGGGAAAUUUAUGGCCAUGUGAUUGUCUACUUGAAGAAAAUACAAUUAAAGCACAUGAAAGUUGACAAAAAUUAAUUAAUUACAAAGACUUAAGCAACUUGAUAAAUGGUUGCUUGGUAUAGUUAUUGAAGUGCUGUAAAAGCAAUUGAAUUUGAAUCUUCAAUAAUUUCUCAUCGAUCUCAAGCUCGUGUGUUCAUAUCCAUCCGCUACCACGUCAAAGAAUUGUGAUGAAAUGUUUACUGAUUCCAGUUUACUAGGUCAAUUCAUGGGUUAUCGUUAUAUAUAUAUAUAUAUAUAUAUAUAUAUAUAUAUACUAUUCUUUUGCUCCAAUUAACAAGAAAUGAUGUUAUAAUUAAGUUUUAACUAGGUCUUAUUUGUCACUAUGAAUAUCCGUGCUUUUGAAAUAUUUUAAAAAUACUUUACUAGGUCGCUAUAUAUAUAUAUAUAAUAAGAGAUCAUCGCUAUAAUUAAGUUAUGAUUUAGGUCUUCUUUGUUAUUUAUUAUGGUCUAUUCAUGUUUUUUUUAAAAAAAAUUAGCUUUGAACUAAUUAUCUUUUGUGUUUAUAAAUCAUAUUUAAAAUAAUUUUUUUAAAAUAAAAAAAUAUAUAUUAUUUUAAUAUAUUUUUAAACAGGAAAUAUUUUACUAUAAGAGAAAAUUAAAUCAUUAUAAAUUCGAGUAUUAAUUAAACAUAUUGAUAGAUAUAAAAUGGUUACAUAUAAGAGAAAGUAAUUCUCAACUGCUUUAGCGGAAUUUUAUCAAUACAUGCUUGUAAGAGGAUUGAGGAAAUGGUCUGUGAGUUUUGGUCUUUGCUUGGUUAUCACAACGUGUACUUCAGAUCAAAUUAGGUCAUGUAAAUAGGAAAGUUCUAUGAUUCUUGAAUUCUAUAUCAAUAUUAUGCUGGACUUUCUUAAGUUAGGAGAUAAAUCUAAUAUUUUAGAGAUAAAUUAUUAUAGAUGUAUUAGUUCGGACAUUAAUGAUGAAAGAUAAUCAUUAUCAGUAGAAAUAAAAUAAAUGUUAAACUUCAGAUCAAAUUUUUUUUUUAUUAAUGUAGGUGUUCGAGUCAGCUUGCGUAUACCUCGAUUAAUCUCACGGGUCCUGAAGUUAACGACCAUAUAAACUUCCAAUGGCCCUAAGAUUUGUGAGACUUAAACUGGUGAUUUCUAACCAGCAAAUCUAGAACCUAACCAAUUAAGUUACAUCUCCCCCUCUCUCUCUGAGUUGUUAAUUAUCAAUUUUUUUUUUUUUUAGUUUAACGUGGGUGUCUGGACAAGUUUGCGUUCACCUCAACUAAUCCCACGGGCUCUGAAGUUAACGACCAUGUAAGCCUCCAGUAGUCAUCAUAUGAGUAACCAUAGGGUUCGAACCUGGAACUACAGAGAAAACAAAUCUUUUAAUUCUAAAUUUUUACAACUAGACCACCACCUAUCUAGACGAGUAAUUAUCAAUCUUUAUAUUUAUAAAAGUUACCAGCUGAAGACAGGUGAUCCUAAAGAAGCAGGCCGAGUAGCUUUCCAUUCAAGCUCGAAGGAAGUAUCCCUGCAAUUGCUGUUUUCGUUUUCUUUCAUUUUAGUCAAAUCCUUUUUGGUCAAUUAUCAUAUGCUUAAUAAUCUUUGAGUCAAUUCAAAGAUGCAGAACAUUGAUGGUGACGUUAAAGUUGAUUUCUUUUAUUAAAGUUAAAGGAAAUUACCUUGCAACUUCUCUUCAUUUUGUCCUCAAAGAGAUCCUGUCCUUUGUUCCAUUAAGGGCCUACUUGGAAUUACAAUAUUUUUUUAAUUUUAUUUAUUUAAAAUAUAUUAAAAUAAUAUAUUUUUUAUUUUUUAUAUUAACUUGAAGCCAGUUUGAAAGUAUGACUCAAUAUCAUUUUAAAUAUAAAUACAUCAAAAUAAUCUAAAAAUACCAAAAAAUAUUAAUUUGAAGCAAAAAAAAAUUAAAAAAAAUUAAUUUUUUUAAAAAAUAUUUUUGAAAUACAAAAAUAAACAGAACUUAAAAAAUUAAGAAAUUUAAAAAAUUAAUUCAAAAUUUAAAAAAUUAAAAAUUAAAAAAAAAAAUACAAUUAAAACCUAAAUAUUACUAAACAGAAUCUAAGCAAUCAAGAAGACAUUUUCCUCCCGAAGUUUCUAAUCAAAGUUGGCGGCUCUUUCAAAUUACAAAUUUGCAAUACAAGUCCCUGUCUUAAAUAGUAAUAUUUAUCCAAGAAAAAAUCCACGAGGAAAAAAGUGUGAGCCUUCUGUAAUAGGUAGGACCAUUAAAAAUAAUCUAUCCAAGAAAAAAAAAACAUGAGAAAAUUUGACAACAAAAAACUAUUAAGUAAAAUAAAAAUUAUAAUAUUGGAGACCCAAACAACUUGAACUUUUUUUUUUAUGAUGCAUUUAGGGCAGGUAACAUGUUACCCGCCCUAAAAAUUUUUGAAAAAAAAUAAAUUAGACAAUGCAUCAUCUAAUGAUGUUCAAAUUCCAGCUAUUGUGGUAGCCGAAAAAUUAGGCUUCAAUUUUUUUUUAUCUAAAAACCUGUUUUUCAGCCGAAAAUAUCUAGAAAACACCUUAAGAGUCGUGAUAAACCUAUUCCUAGCCUUAAAAAAUAAAAAACAUCACCCCAAAAAUCAAAAUCAACACGAAAUCAAAAAUCAAACCAAGCUCAGAUUUGUUGUUACAAGCACUUUCAAUGUAAAAAAAAAAAACACUUAAUAUUAACUCAUCUGAUCUAAUAGAACCAUUUGAUACAAAUAUUAAUAAUUUUGGUUGCCUAUAUUAGUGCUAAUUACACCCUUCUUUCUCUACCUCCAGAAUCUGACGAUCUUUAGGGACUAAAAAAUAACAAAAAUUAACUUUUGUACCAAAAUUGAUGUUGUAAAAUAUUGAGAUACCAAAAUUAUAUAAUUUGUGUUAUUUUUAAGUUUGGGUACUAAGGCCCCAUUUGUUUGCUGGAAAAUAGUUUUCUUUUGAAAAAUAGUUUUCUUAGAAAAUGGAUUCCUGAAAAGUAAAUUAUUUUCCGAUGUUUGGUAGUGUUAUGAAAAAUAAAUUAGAAAACAUUUUCCAGUGUUUGGUUAUGUCAUAGAAAAUGAGUUGAAAAAUAACUUAUUAAUAUUUUUUUUCAAGUUUAUUAAAAUAAUAAGAAACAAAUCUUACAAAUUAAAAAGUUGAAUGAGAAUGAAAUUGAAAAAAAAUAUGAUUUCAUAAAUUAUCUCAAAUAAAAUAAAUAACAAUCAAAAUAAUAGAGAUCAAAUCUAACAGAUAAAAAAAUUAAAAGAGAAUGAAAUUAAAAAAAUAAUAAUUAUAAUUUCAUAAAUUAUUUCAAAUAAAAUAAAUAGCAAAAAAAAAAUAAGGACCAAAUUUGAUAGAUAAAAAAAUUCAAUUAAAAAUUUAAUAAAAGAAAAGCAAAUAAAAAUCAUAAAAAUAAAAACCAAAAUUAAUAUAAAAAUCAAAUUAAAUCACAUGAAUUUAUUAAAAAUAUAAGAUCAUCACACUCCUCAAAUGUUGGCGAGGGUAACUUUUUUAUAUUUAUUUUUUAUUUAAUUUUAUAAUAAUAAAAUUAAAUGCACAAAGAAAAGGUAUAGAAUAAAAUCUAAGGAAAAUAUUCUUAAAAAAUCAUGAAAUACUAUUCAAAAAGCGUGUUUACGAAUAUUAACAAAAAACAAAUACUAUAAUCUUAUAAAAAAAAAGUAAAAAUCAUUAAAUGGUAUCUAACAAAACAUAUCCUAAAUAUAUAUCUAAUAUUUAAUUUUAAUGAGUUAAAAUUAAAAUUGUACAAAAAAAAAACAUAAAAUCCUUUACAAACAUAAGUUAGGUCCUAGGCUUGGUUGGGUCAUCAAGUCUGACUUAAAAAACAAAAGGCUAGACACGUGUGGUCUUGGAAGGGCAUAUCUAGACACUUGACCCUUUGUAUUUUUUUUUCUAAUAGACAUUACGUGUUAUCUGUUUAUUUUUUUUAAGAUAAAAAUAACAAACUAGUUGGACAUUCUAAAACCCCUAAAUUAGUCCCAAAAAAAUAAAAUGUAUUAAAUAAUAUUUUUUUAACUGUGAUCUACUUUUUUAUGGUAAGAUAAAGAUUAAGAAACACUUCAAUAAAAUUUUUAUUAUCAAAUAAAACUUGAUAAUACCAUUGACUUUUUUUAAUGCUAAAAUGAGGUCAAAUGAUAACUUUUUCUAUCCUCCAUUGUUUCCUAAUAACUCUCCCCCCUCCCCCCUCCCCCCUCCCCCCCUCCCUAAACUUAAAGAUUAAAAUGUGAGAAGAAAUAAAGUUUGGGACCAAACCUUACAUUUUCAAACCAAAAGGACCAAGCAUGAAAAUGAGAAAAUUCUUUAGGCAAAAAUCUUUAAAAAGACGCAGCUUGAAUAGUAAUUAAAAAAAUCCUUGUAUUGUUGCCUCGUCUAAUUUGGUCGCUGAAUUGUUAUUUUUUGCCAAGUAAUAAAAUCCUCUUGACACUACAACAUAUCAUAUAGAAAUAAAAUUAAAACAAAUCAUGAAGUCCAAUUCUAGAUCCAUAUAAUAUAAAAGGAAAAAAUUGAAAAAAAAAAACAAAAGUUCAGUGGCUGUAAUAAAAAAGUCAUUAAAGGACUAAAAAAGGAGGAGAAUGUUAAAACAAAUCAUGCAGUCUAAUUUCAAAUUAGCACAAUAUAAAAGGAUGAAUUUGAAAGAAAAAAUUUAGUGACCCUACUAGAAAAAUCUUCAAAAGACCAAAAUAAAAAAGAAAAUAUUAUUCUAAUCUAUAGUGUUUUCUUUUAAGGAAACACUUAUCCCUUACAAGUGUGUGAGUGUAUAAUUAAAACAAACUAUUAUGAAGUAAUGAUGAUUAUUUAUUAAAAUUAUGAUGGUAACUCAACAUAAUCCUUUUAUUAUAUUGAAAAAAAUAUAAAAAAAAACCAUCAUGAUUACAUUUGAUAUUUAUAAGCUUUUCCUUUAUAGAUGAUGAAAUGUUGUUUUAAUAUUAAAUUUUAUAAUUUAUUUAAUUUAUUUUUUAUUAAGUUAUCUCAUUCACAUAAUCUGAAUUGCAAAGUUAAGUUAAUUUGCCUAGUUUAUUGUUUUUUCUUGUAAGGCAUGAAUCAUUCUUCCUAUUUUUUACAUAUCCACAUUUCAACAUGUAAGGUCGAUUCCACUUCUUCUUCUUCUUCUUUUUUCACUUUUUUCAGUUUGAGUACUUCGUUUUUUUUCCCAUGCCAACAUUUUCUUUAACAAACUAAAAAAUUAAACCCAUAGGUAUUUUCUUUAUAGCAUGCCAACAAACAUUUUAUUUUCAUGUGGAAAAUUGUAAGAUAAGUAAGUGGUUUUAGCUGGGGAUGGACAAUAAUAAAAAAUAAUAGUUCUAAUUAAUGGAGGGACAAAUUAUUAAUGAAGACAAAAGUUACAAAAGCAUAGGAAUUCCCACACAAGCAUGGGAGCAAUCAAAUAUUUUUUUUCUUACUCGACUUAAUUUUAUACGCGGGAGCCUACUAUUUUUUUUUGUUGGUCACUAACUCAUAUCAAAAUUUACUAUAUAAAUAUUAAAAGAAGAUUUUAUUUUUUAAUAUGGGAUUAAAAGCCUAUUAGUAUAUAUACUUUGUCUUCACAAGAAAAAAAUUAUACUUUUUCCAACAUAGGAUAAGAAACAUUUUUAGUUUAAACACUUCAAUUUAAAAAUAUAAGAUAAUAUCUUUCCAAUAUGAGAUAAAAAAAAUUAAAUAAUUUUUUAAACUUUAUUAUUUAUAACAUAUAUUGCCUACAUUUAUAUGUAUUAAUUAUUAACUUUUUAAUAUAAAAUAUUAAAAUAUUAAAUAUUUUUUUAAUUUUUUUAAGUUUACCUGUUUUACACAUCCUCCUGUACGUAUCAAGGCCAAAUUUAAUAACUAUACUCCCAGGGAUUGCAAUUGGAGAUGACAGCUGUGUUAAAUUAAUUCAGAUUAACAUAAAAGAAAAACAAACAUAAAAGAGAAAGAGGCUGGAAUUCUCAUUAAUUCAGUUUGCAUGUCUCGCCGGAGUAUAUGAAUAAAUUCUUACCACAAAUGGCUCCACAUAGUGACCAUCAGCUUCAACAACAGUCAUGUUGUGACCCUGCAUAAGAAUUAUUAAGAUGUUAAUUAAUAACUACCUCGUCAUUUUAUUUUUCUAAGAAGCUGUGGAAUAUAAAUUGUCAGGAGAUUGAAAAUACCUCUAUCUGGAAACUAAGAGCUGAUAAAGCACUCAAGCUACUAAUCCUAAGCCGAUACGUUUUUCCAGGGACUACAGUCGUAGAAUAAAGAGAGCAUUCAGGAUUUGUAUUAUUGCAGACAUCGGCUUUCAGGGGAGGAUUGGCAGCGGAGCAGUCAAAUCUUCCCUUUCCUUGUAUCAGAAGUGACUGCAAUUUUUGUUGCAGGGAACAAGUUUAGUCGUUUGAAACUGAUAGCUACCACAGUAAAGUACAUUCAAGAUAUCAAACAAGGGAAAUGUUAGAUAAUUAAGUACCUGAGGCUCCCCAACCCACUGAAAGGGAAUUGAAGACAAUCCUGCAGCUUGUUCAUACGUGCUCUUGUGAUACCAAUCAGUAAGGAUGAUGCUCCGAUCAUAAUCAUAAGCAAAGGGUUCGGAUUCUCCAUCGGGAAGCGCUACCCGAAUCGAUCCAUAUAUCCCAGCUUCUCUUUGCAUUCCAUAAUGGGCAUGAUAUAAGUAUGUCCCAGGCUGUAUAGAAGAUGCAAGAGGUUAUUAUCAUACAGGUAAUGUGAAAAGGCAGAGCAUUACAGAGUGUUAAGACUUGAGGACUUACCCUGUCAACAACAAACUUGUAUACGAAAGUGUCUCCAGGCAGAAUUGGACGCUGAGUGACUCCUUCCGUUCCAUCAAACCAAGGUGUUCCAAUCUGACGGAUUCCGUGCCAAUGAAUUGCUGUAUUCUCGGUUAACAAACUGUUCUUGACCUCAACAAUAACUGUGUCAUUCUGCUUUGCAAGGAUUGUGGGUCCAGGAGUUCUUCCAUUGAUUGUAAUGACCA